rnacentral:lncRNA from 1 species
AGCCCCCCUACUACGAUCUGGGGGCCUCCCCCUCCUACCACCCCUUGCCUUCCCUCCCCAGGCUCUGCUCAUGG